UUCUUACUGCCACACUGCAAGGUUUUUAAUUCACAAUAAAGUUUCUUUUAUAAAAAUAAUAUCAAACUUGGCAGAGACUCAACAAUGCUACAAUUUAUAUGUAUGUAUAUGGAAGUCCGACAAAGCAAAGGCGAAAAGGCACAUCAACAAAAAAAAAAGUAUCAUACAAUACUUAUUUCCUAAUAUUAUAUUUUUAUUUGUGUUUGAGAACCACAAUUUAAUUGGGUAUUAAAAUUUAAUUUAAUAGGCCGGUAAAAUUAAUGCUGGUACAUAAGAAGCUACUGGCAAGAAAAGAAUUGUUGCUUACCGCUGAAAUUGAUAAGCAAGGUACGUUUGUACAGUCCGAGAUUGUUAGUAAAUUUUGGUAGCGUUAUAACUAAAAUAUGUAGAGCCGGAUUGCGACGACAGCAAUAAUAGUACAUGCAAUAUCAAGCCAUCAGGUUGGACAAAUACUGGCUGAUCAACUGUGUCAUAUGGCAAGAGUGCGGAAUAGUGACCGGUAAAAGCUAGUUAGUUGGACAAUUGACAGAAUCCAAAACACAUUUAUCUAGCUAUGAUAAAGAUUCACUUUGGACUAUAUGACAACUAACAAGUGGAGACACUGGCAUCCAGCUGGAUUUCAUUGCUUAGCGUAGAGCGUAUUGAUGGGUAUAAGCUGCCAAGUGUAAAUGUACACGCAGAUUUCUCUCUUCUCAUGCAGCAUUUGGAUUUGGCCUCUGCUCUUGCUAUGGUGGUUUCUACGAAAUGUACUAGAGGCAUAUAAGAAAUAGCCAUUUUAAAGUACGCAGCUGCGAAGGUAGCUAGUCAGGACCGGAGAGACGACAGCAGUUCUAAAAAGUGGUGUCGCUUUCAUUGUAUGGUUUACAUAUAUGAUUAACAAUUACUUGAAGCAGCGGUUAAAGCGUGGACUGGGCACGUGGACACGUGGGCAGCUUUAGGACUGGGCUGGCAUUAAAUUCACACCAUCAGGACUACGUGCAUACAGCAUGGCUAGGCACAGCCCUUUAGGUCUUCUUUUUAAAACAACACUUGGAAAAGAUUAAUUGGUUUCUUUGUUUGGUGCAACUGACAAUUGGGCCGGAAUAUAUAGUAUCGACUGAGAAACUUGUUUAGAGUGUAUGAAACUAAAAUACUAAAACUACUGUCCGCAUUUGUAAUAUUCUUUUUUUUUGUUCAAUAAUUAAAUUUAAAUGUAAUUGUAAAUUAAAUUGAAUAUUUUUUAAUUAAUGUAAGCCAUCAAAUGUUCUUAUACACUGCGUGUCAUCGGAUUAGCGCUCCCCUUUACAUUCUUACAAAUGUUCCAUACUGUCAAAACAUUUGAACUAUCAACUCAAAA